rnacentral:rRNA from 1 species
UACAGAGGGUGCGAGCGUUAAUCGGAAUUACUGGGCGUAAAGCGUGCGUAGACGGUUAUUUAAGUCGGAUGUGAAAGCCCCGGGCUCAACCUGGGAAUUGCAUUCGAGACUGAAUAGCUAGGGUGCGGUAGAGGGAAGCGGAAUUUCCGGUGUAGCGGUGAAAUGCGUAGAUAUCGGAAGGAACAUCAGUGGCGAAAGCGGCUUCCUGGACCAGCAUCGACGUUCAGGCACGAAAGCGUGGGGAGCAAACAGG